rnacentral:rRNA from 1 species
AACACAUGCAAGUCGAACGAGAAAGCUUUCUUCGGAAGGUGAGUAGAGUGGCGCACGGGUGAGUAACACGUAAGUAAUCUGUCUUCGAAAUCGGAAUAACAUUGCGAAAGCGAUGCUAAUACCGGAUAAAGUUGUAUUAACUGCGGUUGAUAUAAUGAAAGGCAGCUUUCGGGCAGUCGAUCGGAGAUGAGCUUGCGUCCCAUUAGCUAGUUGGCAGGGUAAGAGCCUACCAAGGCGACGAUGGGUAGCUGGUCUGAGAGGAUGAUCAGCCACACUGGAACUGAAACACGGUCCAGACUCCUACGGGAGGCAGCAGUGAGGAAUUUUGCGCAAUGGGGGAAACCCUGACGCAGCAAUGCCGCGUGAGUGAAGAAGGCCUUCGGGUCGUAAAGCUCUGUCAGAUGGGAAGAAAUUGGGUAUAGUUAAUAGCUA